GAAGUUGAAAUAGAAAUUUCGACAUAGCAUAACAUUUGUAGAAAUGUUAUAAAUGAAACAUGAAAAUAACAUUCCUCUUUGUUAUUUUAUUAACUUAUAAAGUUUCUACACAGCACAAUGGAAUUUUAUCCAGAUACAAGCGCGACUCAGCAGGUGCUUUGAACAUUGUCACAAAUCAUGCUCCAGCUAUCCACGCUGACGUGAAGGAUGAUAACGCGGGCCAAACUGAUAAGGUAACAGCACCAAAGGACACACUCUACGAUGGUAAAUCGUUGAGGAAGUCGCUGCCUCUCACCACCAAGCUGGACCUGGUCCGUGCUGUGAGCCGAGUCGUGACGUUAAUAACUUUGCUGUUCUCCGCUAUUGUAGAAUUUUAUCCUUUUGUACAACAUAUGUAUAUAAUGAUAGACGAGUUUAUUCAUUUAAAUAAAUAUUAAAUUGAAACGAUACAUUUAUUUA